GCCGGGGUGGUGAAACUGGUUAGACACGAGAGACUUAAAAUCUCUUGGUAGCAAUACCGUGUGGGUUCGAGUCCCUCCCUCGGCA
rnacentral:tRNA from 1 species